CUGUACCCCCACUCCCCCAUCUCCCAACACUGUCACUCUCUCUCAUCCCUCACUGUUCUCUGCCUCUCCCAUCUGUCCCCCCUCCCUCUUAUCUCUUAUCCCUCGUAUCCUCCUUCGCAUUGAUCACUAACAAUGGUUGCUAAAACACCCUUUAAAUGAAUUACUUAUACAGGAAUGCCUGUUCCUUCCUGAUUUAAAGAAAAUUUCUCAAGCGACUGUAAUUUCAUGGUAACCGUCUUCAGUUUUUUGGUUUGAACGCUGGACCAAGCGAUCUUUGAAAAAGAUCAAAGAGGUCAAGGCGGUGGAGGAGUGGGUUAAUGGUUAUAUGUUCUUGAGUAUCUUCUUUUAUUUUAGUUUUUCCUAGCCCAGGGAAUUUGUGCAGAUGUUUGUUGGAAGAGGAGCAGCUCGCAUUAGAGACCUUUUCAAUUUGGCAAGGAAACAUCACCGUCAAUUAUAUUCAUUGAUGAGCUUGAUGCGGUUGGAACGAAGCGUGGCAGAAGUUUCAAUGAUGAGCGUAACCAAACAUUGAAACAGGUAAUAUAAGGUUCAAUUCUGGCUUCAAUCCUGCAUUUCUCGCAUCCAUUCAAAGUUUAAGCGGUCACAUGCUGAAUGUCUUCUGGAAUUGUUAGUAUAUAAUUUGAUCUGUGGGCCAUUAUUUGUAUUUCCAAACUUUUUGAAAAUUGUCAAAUCACUGUAGUUGGGAAGACUCUUUUGUUCUCCUGUUUGAUGGGAAAAUAAUAAAGAAUUAUACCGAAAAAAUUAUGUUACUGUUUAUUUUAAUAAAAAAUUAUAUUUUUAUAUUAAAAAAUCAAUUCUGGUACUAUUUAUUUUAUCUUUUAUUUUUUCGUUAAAUCUCAAAGUUUUCAAACAUUUUUUAUUAGUUUUCCUAAAAUAAUAUUGGUCCCUUUAAAAUCUUGCCAACUUUUCUUGCUUAUUUGCUGUGCUAUUAGCUUAUACUUUCACCUUCAAUCUUAGAACAUUUUUGUAUUUCCUUUAAUGUCCUUAGUUUUGUUUUCAAUUUCCUUAGUUUUGUUUUCAAUUUUCAAGUCUAAAUAGCUAUCAAGUAUCAACACGUUAAAUUAGCUUAUUGUUUCGAUUAUGCUGUUAUGUACAAUAGUAGAAGGCAGUAUUAAGUAUUAACCACCAAAUUUGAGCAGUUUGUGUUACCAGGUUAGUCAUUUUCAUGCUUAUUAUUUAAUCACGGACAUUACUCUAACGUGUUCAAUCGGUAUCAUAAUUUUUGAUAAGUGCAUAUGCCCAUUGAACGCAUCAACUUAAAUAUAUAUAUGUGACUGCUUGAAUUGGGAAUCAAGGCUGCUGUAAGGAAAUUUGAGCCUUAGCCUGUAGAGAUACGAUUUUGCAAGGAAGCUAGGUACCUUCUAGACUUAUUGGACGUGAAGAUUUGUAUGAUCGAAUUUGUGAUUAAUAUACUUGGAUUUUAUUAAAUUUUUCAUGAUUUUAUAGAGUUUUUCGUUUAAAUUUGUGGGUUUUGAAAAAUUCUUCAUUAAAUUUCUGGGUUCUUUUGAUGUGGAUUUAUGUGAGAUUAAUCAACUGCAAUGUCAGAUAUGAUAAUAGGUGGGCAUGUUCAUAUGUUUUCCAAUGUUCUCUUAUCAACUCUUAGUGUUGAAAUAGUCAGCUAUUAAUGAUGGAUUAAUCAAAGUUGGGCAUGAGUUCAUAUGUUUUUCAAUGUUUUUAUAAAAACAAUGCAAUUUUCACUUAGUUUUGUGUAGAAUAAUGGUGUUUUAAGUAGAACAGUGGGAGAUUCAUUUGUGAUCAUUUGAAAAUAAAUUCUGAAUACUACACUACCAUUCUGCUUAAAGCACCCCAAUACAUGCAUAAUUUGAACGAAUAUGUAAGGGUUACUUGAGAAACUAACAGCAUACAAAAUUUAAAUGAUUCUAUUUGUUUCUAUCUUUUUCUGGAUUUGUCUGCUAUUACGAUUUGUUUUGGCUUUUUUUUAAAUUCAAAAAACUUAAAACUGAUUUUGUUUGCCCGCGAUUUGUUAUGAGGUAUUGCUAUAACAUGGAGAAAUUGACACUGAUUCUAUUAUUAUGUGUACAUCAGUUUGUAAUAUCUAAUCUUAAAAUAUAUACAUUUUUUAUUUUUUUGAUUGUCAGAACGAAGAAGAAGGCAUUCAAAUUAAAAUCAUAACUUGCAUCAAUAUAGAAGUAUAAAUUUAUCCAAUUGUAAAUAGGAAUGUAAGCCCCAUCGUUGAACACCUAAUAUGGUUGUAUAUAUGUAUCAAACUCAGCAGAAAAGCGUAUAAAACAUGUAUCAAACACAACAGGUACAUAUGUAUCAAACUCAGUUGAUAUAAUCUCUGGUUUGAUUUGAAAUUCAUUACAAAUAUCUAUUUUUUUGUGCUUUGUCAAUCUCUCUAAUAAUUUUUUUACACCUUACUGAGUUAUGUUAAGAUUUAUGUUUAGAAUAAAGUGGUUCCACAAAACCUGUAAAGUGGUUCCACUAAAGUAGUUCCACAAAAUCUGCAAAGUGGUUCCACAAAACCUGCAAAGUGGUUCCACAAAAAUCUGCAAAGUGGUUGUUAUCUCGAUUGCAGCAGUAGAUUGUUAAUUAGUUUCAUUCAUGAUGAGGUUGUGUGUAAAUUGCAUUGGUUGCAUUGGCGUUCGUAAUUCAAUUUUUGACUCGAACAUUGUUUAUAAAAAUUGCAGUUGCAUAAUCUUUCAUAUAAUUUUCAACCCCGCAGCAAUGCACAGGCAUAAAUUUUAGUUGACUUCUAAAAAUAAAAAACAAUAACGUUC